rnacentral:misc_RNA from 1 species
ACAGACCUGAGACGCCUCGCUUUGCAUCCACUCGAAGCCGUACGUCUAUCCAGAGUGCGUAUUCGCAGGGUUUCCUCUUCUUGUCGUAAAAAUCGUUCCGGCCCAGUUGCUACCGCCGGCAGUUGGUCUGGGGAAAAGUUGAGGAGCGUUUGCUUUGCGCGUUUCACAACGCUUGCUUUUUUGUCUCGUUGGCGGCGGGCUUACGUGUAUAGCCUGGAUCUGUCUCUGCUGUCCACUUUAUUUGCAGAGGUUUUCCACGAAUCAGAGAGCCAUAAGCGCUGCCGGCCAUUGCGGGCGUCAACCGUUGUUGUGUGGUUGUUUCAAGCGCAAAUAGGUGUACCAACCUUUGCAGAGCGUCCGCGGAACGGUCUCCAGUCACAAGAGCUAUCGGCUUUGAAACACGCAACCUGGUUUGGUAAAAACGCUUUCCAGAGUUCAUCCUCGCGAAAACUUCUUUACACCGAAGAAACGUUCUCCAACUCGUACGAGAAUGAGCUCGCGGGUUCAGACCAUCAGUUGUGAGCGAGUCGCUGACUUGGUGCGAAAGGGCGCCAUUCCGUGGCCAGUAACGAUCCUCGAUGUACGCGACGUUGACUUUCACGGUGGAUGCAUACGAGGCGCAUGGCAUGCUCCGUACGACGAAGCUAUAGGGAAUCUGGGUGCCUUGGCCGUGAAACUCAUGCGCUUUGCGCUGAAAAUGCAGUCGACAUCCGCAGGAGAUCGGCACUUGGUCAUAUGCCACUGUAUGCUUUCCAAGUGCCGCGGACCGGAGAUCGCUAUCGGGCUCGCUUCGACGCUACCGCGGAUGCAUGUCCAAUGGAAAAGAGAGGGUUCAGAUCUGGCGCAGCUGGACUUGCCCAGCAUCGCAGUCAUGGAAGGUGGAUAUGAACAUUUCGCACGUCUUUUUGGUGAAAAGGAGCCUGGGCUGUUCGCUGACCGCCCCAUUCAGGUUGUGUGCGAGUAACUCGAGCAGCACAAAGGGAUUCUGGGAAAGCGAAUACUUCUGCAGAUGAGAACACACUACGACAGACGAGCUCUGAACAGCGGCAGCAGUGGCCGGCACCAGCGAUUCGAGAAAACGACUCGGAUUAUGAUACACUCGACAGCAUCAAAGGCGGAGAAAGGCACGCGCCUUUGCAAUGAUUCGGCGCUCUCAUCGGGGUGCAGAGCCGGGUCGGACGCGCGCCCGCGCUCAUCCUGGGGAAAUGCUCGCUCCCGGGUGCCUGCGUAUGAGGCCGGACGCAGGUGAACGGCACCGCAACCAUCAAGGAUUAACAGCGUUUCUCUGCAUUGUGCGAUACGCUCCUUUUUGACUCAAGUGUGCAUGGCGGUCGAAUGCACGAGACGUCACGCAUCCCGAUCAUGUCCCGCUCCUUAUAUGUGGUUCGUUGGGGAUAACGCAAGCGGCAUCCGGAUGCAAGGGUGUUGCGUUGCAUUCAGAUUCGGAGCGCUACAUCAUUCGCGAGCGGUUUUUGAGGGAGGGCAGCGUUGAUCCAAGACCACCCGAAACGAAACACAAGCUCCGACAAGACUAGGGUACGUGCAUUCUCAGCCGACCCUAGACGGCAGCGCUCGAGCCAUCAUUUCCUCAUUGGACAUGUGAUUUCUGCGGCGUUCCUGUGCCGCACGGAUGUGCACCCACUCUCCACUAGUUUAGCAGGUCGGAAUGCAUUUGCUCAUUGCCGAACAUUACCGCAUUUGAUGAGGUAUCGGCAGCGAUGCAUCAACCUCGACCAAAGUAUACGAGAUCGUGUCUCUUCGAUGGGGUCUAGGCAGAUUCAAGCAAGCUGGACCUGUGAGUAUUCGUAGCCACAUUUGGGAGCGGUGCAGCGGAAUCACUGCGAACGGCGUAUCCCCGAGAGGCCCAUCGACGGGGCCGAAUACCUCAUGAUCCGUCCGUCCUGCGCGUCGCACGGGGCGCUGAUGCUCUUCAAGAGCAUUCGUCAGCGCCGAUGCACCAAGAAGGACUACCGACCCCUGGCGCUCCCAUUACCAGAUCCGUUCCAUGAACGCAGAUGACACGCCGACGCUCGCUGGAUUCGUUUCGGGUCCGGCAGCAUGCACACGUGUCCGCGACCAAGGCACCGAUCUCGUGGCCACCACCGAUGAUGGACUUGUUAACAGGGAUCGGUCUGUACUCUUGCGGCAUCAUGUAGCAACCACGCUAGAGGACGCCCAUUCGGUUUGGUGCCACAGAUAUGUAGACGCAUGCAGGGGAAGGCGCCAGCGGGUUCACACAGCUGCUGGGCACACUUGCGUCGAUCGUUCUGCAUUCGAUGCGCGUAUAGGCGUUCAGUCAUCGCGAAGUUGCUUCAUGCGCGGUAACCGUCGACCUGGGGUCAUCCGCACCAGCAGACGAAGCGGUCUCAGCAUACACGAUUGUGGGCAUGUUUUCCUCAGUGUCCUCAAUGAGGAGAGACGCCCGCUCUGCUGCGCUCUCCGGGAUGGACCUGUAGAGCGCAACGACGUGCUCACCGGUUAGUUCCGUAACGAGCAUACGCAAGCUCGCGGCAUUUCGCGGUCGUAUACUCUCUCCAUUAGGCAGCGGGUACUCGGCAUAGAUCGUAAAUGCCCCGUUCAGCGC